rnacentral:lncRNA from 1 species
UCUGACAAGGUCUGAGUGGCUGAGCUGGUCCCUUUGCACUGCAGCUGAUUAGACUGAUGAGGCACAGGUGGUGCAGCCAGGGAGUGGAAAAGGCUCCAAUUCCACCCUAAAGGGGCGGAGAGCUUCUGCACUUCCAACACAGAGGAUCAAAACACAGAUAGACCAGUCGCAGACAGUAAUGGAUGGAUGAAUGAAUAUGAAGCCAGUGCAGAAGUGCCAAAAGCAGCAUUUCAACAUGAAAUGAUGAUUUGACGCUGCCCCUAAAAAGUCCAACUCCAGGGAAGAACUUAACAUGUUUACUUGAGGCAGACAUCUAUAGCUGGUUUGGCCCUUCACAACAAAUGUACAGUGGGAAGAUUUUGGCCAGCUUGGCAGCCUAUGUGUUGCUCGUGUUCAGAAGUUUGAUGGCUUGAGGAAUAAAAGACCGUUUGGACCUGCUUUUGGUGAACAAUGGGUCUCAUUCGUGCAACCUGCAUCCUUCCCACCUCCAGCUCAUUCUGGCCAGUUAGAGAUCCUCAUCCAAGUCUCCACCUGCCUCAUUUCUUCCGCUACAACCAGUGUCGAGAUUCCGGGGGGUCCUGACCUACUUCUACCACUUUGGACUCCACUCUGCUGUGUAACUUGGUGUAAUCACCAAACAACUUUUUACUCAAACUCUGUUCUUCUAUAAAUCAUGUUCAAUUCUUUCGAAUGAUCUGUCCUUAUUGAACUGAUUCUGGGGACAUUUGGGGACAGGAGAACAACCUUUGAACACAACAAUAUUUAUAAUUUGAUACAGAGGUCUCGUGAGCAUGAAGUAAUAGUUCUCAUUUAGUUCCGGUUUUGGUUGCCACCAGGUGCCGAGGGAAAUACCUAGCCACUUAGCUGCUGAAUGCACCGCUAUAUUCACCUGCCAGUUCCUAAUCGUGUUUGCUGGACAUUUGAUAGUGGGCAGAUAAGGGCCAGUUGUUUUUAGAGCUUUUUAACUACAGUUGAGUGCACCAUCUGAAAUUUAUAUCACAGCAGUGAGAGUGUACCAAAACAGCAAAGUCAAAGGGACAUAGAGAAUUGGGUAUAUUGAAUAUAACUGCAGUCUGGUAAUAUAUCCGUGUCUUUGUUAGUACAAAUGUCUAAUGAAUCAAGCUUCUUUAAUGCA